GGAGGAAUAUUGGUCAAUGGACGCACGUCUGAACCAGCCAAGCAGCGUGCAGGAUGACGGCCCUAUGGGUUGUAAACUGCUUUUAUAUGGGGAUAAUGUGGGGAACGGGUUCCCUAUUGCAGGCACAAUAUGAAUAAGGACCGGCUAAUUUCGGGCGAGCAGCCGCGGUAAUACGGAAGGUUCGGGCGAUAUCCGGGUUUUUUGGGUUUAAAGGGAGCGCCGGCCGUUUGGUAAACUUGUUGUGGAAUGUAGGAGCUCAAAUUCUAGGUUUCAGCGCGAACUGUCAGAGUUGAGAGCACACAACGGAGGGGGAAUUCAUGGUGUAGCGGUGAAAUGCUUAGAUAUCAUGAAGAACUCCGAUUGCGAAGGCAGCUUACGGGAGCGCAACUGUCGCUGAAGCUCGAAGGUGCGGGGAUCGAAAAGG
rnacentral:rRNA from 1 species